rnacentral:rRNA from 1 species
CAGGUUUACCUGUGUGACUGCGUACCUUUUGUAUAAUGGGUCAGCGACUUAUAUUCUGUAGCAAGGUUAACCGUAUAGGGGAGCCGUAGGGAAACCGAGUCUUAACCGGGCGUUAAGUUGCAGGGUAUAGACCCGAAACCCGGUGAUCUAGCCAUGGGCAGGUUGAAGGUUGGGUAACACUAACUGGAGGACCGAACCGACUAAUGUUGAAAAAUUAGCGGAUGACCUGUGGCUGGGGGUGAAAGGCCAAUCAAACCGGGAGAUAGCUGGUUCUCCCCGAAAGCUAUUUAGGUAGCGCCUCGUGAAUUCAUCUCCGGGGGUAGAGCACUGUUUCGGCUAGGGGGCCAUCCCGGCUUACCAACCCGAUGCAAACUGCGAAUACCGGAGAAUGUUAUCACGGGAGACACACGGCGGGUGCUAACGUCCGUCGUGAAGAGGGAAACAACCCAGACCGCCAGCUAAGGUCCCAAAGUCAUGGUUAAGUGGGAAACGAUGUGGGAAGGCCCAGACAGCCAGGAUGUUGGCUUAGAAGCAGCCAUCAUUUAAAGAAAGCGUAAUAGCUCACUGGUCGAGUCGGCCUGCGCGGAAGAUGUAACGGGGCUAAACCAUGCACCGAAGCUGCGGCAGCGACGCUGAUGCGUUGUUGGGUAGGGGAGCGUUCUGUAAGCCUGUGAAGGUGU